CCUACGGGUGGCAGCAGUAGGGAAUCUUCCACAAUGGGCGAAAGCCUGAUGGAGCAACGCCGCGUGGGUGAAGAAGGUCUUCGGAUCGUAAAACCCUGUUGUUAGAGAAGAAAGUGCGUGAGAGUAACUGUUCACGUUUCGACGGUAUCUAACCAGAAAGCCACGGCUAACUACGUGCCAGCAGCCGCGGUAAUACGUAGGUGGCAAGCGUUAUCCGGAUUUAUUGGGCGUAAAGGGAACGCAGGCGGUCUUUUAAGUCUGAUGUGAAAGCCUUCGGCUUAACCGGAGUAGUGCAUUGGAAACUGGGAGACUUGAGUGCAGAAGAGGAGAGUGGAACUCCAUGUGUAGCGGUGAAAUGCGUAGAUAUAUGGAAGAACACCAGUGGCGAAAGCGGCUCUCUGGACUGUAACUGACGCUGAUGCUCGAAAGUGUGGGUAUCAAACAGGAUUAGAUACCCCUGUAGUC
rnacentral:rRNA from 1 species